rnacentral:rRNA from 1 species
CAGUAGCCGCGGGAAUACGAAGGGGGCUAGCGUUGUUCGGAUUUACCGGGCGUAAAGGGCGCGUAGGCGGACUGAUAAGUCAGGGGUGAAAUCCCAAGGCUCAACCUUGGAACUGCCUUUGAUACUGUUUGUCUUGAGUUCGAGAGAGGUAAGUGGAACUGCGAGUGUAGAGGUGAAAUUCGUAGAUAUUCGCAAGAACACCAGUGGCGAAGGCGGCUUACUGGCUCGAAACUGACGCUGAGGCGCGAAAGCGUGGGGAGCAAACAGGAUUAGAUACCCCGGUAGUCCCUGUCUCUUAUAC